rnacentral:snRNA from 1 species
AGCUUUGUGCAGUGGCAGUAUCAUAGUCAAUGAGGUUUAUCUGAGGCUCAAUUAUUGCUAAUUGAAAUUUUAACUGUCUUUCCUGCC